UGGGACCGUUCGGUCGCCGCGGUGCCCGCUGCUGCGGGGGAGGAGUAGCUCGGACUGACGCCGUUGAAAUCACUUCGUUACACCUAUGCGAAACGCGGAAUGGAAAUACGACCGUGACGAUCCGCGUGUCUGUGGCCGAGCGAGUGGCCGCGGCGUGUGUGCGCGGGUGGCGUCCGUUCGGCCGUGUGCUCUCGCCGUACACCCUUUCUCGUAACGGUGUUUACGAGGAGCAGUUUCGCCGGACGAUCUUCCGAGACCCGCACCCAAAGCAAUCUGAAGUUAGACACUUUGUGGGUGUUAUCGGGGAACACACGACCUGGUCAUUGCACUCCACGCUGGCCGCGUACGUGGACAGGUCCGGUGUCCCGCGUUACGGCGAGGAAAGAAUCGAAGACGUCGAUGAUGGAGGCCGCCCCGUGUUAAAUCUCGCCCAGAUAAAUCACGAACGGCGGAGGACCGUCCGCAGGGACGCUGGCAAUGAUCAGCGGUAAAUUCUGGAGACUGUCCAACGGUCCCCGCGCUGUCGCGCUGUACUCGCCGAUGGAUUUUUUAUCGAGUUCGAGCAAAGAUGAUUUUGCACAAUGUUGCUUCGGAUUGAGCUAAUUAUAUGCGCAACGUGUUUGGACAAUAAAAAGUCGUGACAUCGAAGCACCGGAUAAUCGUCGUUCUACUUUAUCAAGAUUCUUUCACAGAAAAUAGCGAAGAAACGAUGAAAAGUAUAUAAAUACAUUCAGUCUUGUCAUCAUUACGAAGCAAUUCAUGCCAGUUAUUUAUAGUGCUGAUAAAUGAUCGGUAGGUUUAGUGUUGCUCGAAGUUCUAUUUUCUAUUCAUAUGUGUCUGCAAAAGGAUAAGUCGAUGGUCUAUAUCCGCGAUAGACAAAUUUGAAUAUAUAGUCAAAUAAUAAUAAAAUAUUUGCUCUUUCAACGGGAUAAAUCCUUCGUUAUACAAUACAAGAAUACAAUAACAAUCAAGCAGCCUGCAAACAGAAUAAAAUUAGAAACGUUAUAACAAAUGAUAUGGACAUGAUAUGACAUAAUAAAGUAAAGUAACAGAAAUUCAGGUAUCUGAAUGAACAUCCCCGCACGUGAUGUUAAUUUUUGCUGGUAAUAAAGUGAACUCCAAGAAAGUCUAGAGAAUCACAAAAGCGAUUAGCAGUCGUAUCAUAAAAUGAUACAAGUGGAAUUCGACCUCUUCUCGGCUGAAUUUGUAUUUCGACAAUAAAAAUAUGCUCCCGAAAUUUGGAGAUCCGCGGAGAGCUGUCGGCGCUGCGCCACCGUUUCCGAAAUAGUCUGGCACGAAACGAAAUUCUCGGAGCCGGCUAUCUCUCAUCGCGGUGUCAGAAAAAUGCGAGCGCACUUUUGCCGGCCGCGAUUAAACAGAAGCCCGCGGCUUGUCUAAUUGCACGACUCACACCGUAAUAGUAUGCAGGCUGGGUUGGUAAUGCUAGGUGUUAGAAGGCUCCUGCGGAGCGAGGUAUUCAUUAAUUAUACAACAUGAUGACGACGAUGAAAGCUCGCUAAUAACUAGAUCAGGCGGGCCGAUACUUCAAGAUAAUCUAUAGUUCCCAGACUCGGCGACUUUUUCGAUUUCCUGAUAAUAUCGGUGGCCGGUUGCGUGUUCAUUUGAAUCGAACAGCCGCCGCCGCCGCCACCGUGGAUCCUAAUAUAUCGAUCGUGCGAAACUUGCGAAACGAGUCCGGGCUUCGCUGUUCGUUACCUCUAACAGCUGAAUUAAUAAUUCACCGUUGUAUACCGAUCGUGAUCUUAAUCCGUCGUGUCCGAAUCACCGAGAUAACGAAUCGCGUAAUAGAGCCGAUCGGCCGCAGAUAUUUAUCGGCGCGGAACUUUAUCGCGCGCACUUGAUCUUGGAUUCACGGUGCACGCGUAACGCACACCUCGUUGCCUUUCUGUCAGCGAUCGCCUACGUUUAUUCGAUUCAUUUGUCCGCGGGAAACGAGCCUCGGAGAUUCAAUAGCAUUAUCACUGAACGCUCGCGCGGUGUACUCUGACGAUAGAAAUUUAUCGCGCAGCGUGCGAGAUAUUAAGACGUGUGAAUGUUCCUUUAUUGUUCUCUGAACAUUAUAAUCAUUGUGUCAGCUAGUCUUCCGGUACUUUACACCAGAGUUGGGUAAAUUUUAGUCGAUAUUGCCGAAUAAAUAUACAAUCGAAUAAAAAUUUA